UUCUGGUUACCUCAGUUUGCAGAGCGCUCUAGUGGAGAUGGAGAGGUCCCUGGUUCGAUUCCAAGACCAGGCG
rnacentral:tRNA from 1 species